rnacentral:rRNA from 1 species
UACGUAGGGUGCAAGCGUUGUCCGGAAUUACUGGGCGUAAAGAGCUCGUAGGCGGUUUGUCGCGUCGUCUGUGAAAUCCCGCAGCUCAACUGCGGGCUUGCAGGCGAUACGGGCAGACUUGAGUACUGCAGGGGAGACUGGAAUUCCUGGUGUAGCGGUGAAAUGCGCAGAUAUCAGGAGGAACACCGGUGGCGAAGGCGGGUCUCUGGGCAGUAACUGACGCUGAGGAGCGAAAGCGUGGGGAGCAAACAGG